CUCGUAGGCGGUUCGUCGCGUCCGGUGUGAAAGUCCAUCGCUUAACGGUGGAUCCGCGCCGGGUACGGGCGGGCUUGAGUGCGGUAGGGGAGACUGGAAUUCCCGGUGUAACGGUGGAAUGUGUAGAUAUCGGGAAGAACACCAAUGGCGAAGGCAGGUCUCUGGGCCGUUACUGACGCUGAGGAGCGAAAGUGUGGGGAGCGAACA
rnacentral:rRNA from 1 species